AAGUCGUAACAAGGUCUCCGUAGGUGAACCUGCGGAGGGAUCAUUAACACGUAAUCUCACGAUUACAAACCAAAAAACCACGUGCUUUCUGUCUUCUGUUUGAAGUAGGAUCGUGCAGCGAGAUGUUGGGCUAGAGCGCUCGCUGUCGGUCAUUCCAAACUACUUUUGAGUAGAAGUAAAACUCAUUUCAAUUCUCUCUUGGCCUAAACCCUUUAACCCCAACCACAAAAUUUUAUAUACAUCACUACUGAUUUAACUCAUUCUUGUCGAAAGGCUUGAGUGAAGGUUUUUUACGAAACCAAAGAACAACUCUUAGCAGUGGAUAUCUUGGCUCCCGU
rnacentral:misc_RNA from 1 species